GUUCCUUUCUAGCCGUGGUAGCUGUGACAUGGGGGGCACUGGUUGGCAGCUGGUGUGUUUUCAGAGGCUGUCGGCGAUCGUAUGCUGCCCGGGAUAGUCAAAAUGACUGCACGUUGGUGACACUGGCUCUCUCAGGGUUGCUGGGUCUGCAUGCGGAGCCAUUUGUGUGUCUGAAGUCUGCCCAUCAACCUGCCUGUCCGCAGCCCUCGCAAUGGAGAAUGCAUUGCGAAUGGAGAAUGAUCUGAGCCAAGGGCUUUCAGAGCUUGGGGUUUCAGAGCCAGGGGUAGGGAUGGUGAAGCUACCUGGAAGCUCGUUUUGAGGAUGAAAAAACCUGGACUAAUCAGGUGGUUCUUUUCUUCAUUAAAUGCAAUUUAAACCUAA
rnacentral:lncRNA from 1 species